rnacentral:rRNA from 1 species
AUUGAACGCUGGCGGAAUGCUUUACACAUGCAAGUCGAACGGUAGAGGGGGCAACCCCUCGAGAGUGGCGAACGGGUGAGUAAUAUAUCGGAACGUGCCCAGUCGUGGGGGAUAACGUAGCGAAAGUUACGCUAAUACCGCAUACGAUCUAAGGAUGAAAGCGGGGGAUCGCAAGACCUCGCGCGAUUGGAGCGGCCGAUAUCAGAUUAGGUAGUGGGUGGGGUAAAGGCUCACCAAGCCAACGAUCUGUAGAUGGUCUGAGAGGACGACCAGCCACACUGGACCUGAGACACGGUCCAGACUCCUACGGGAGGCAGCAGUGGGGAAUUUUGGACAAUGGACGCAAGUCUGAUCCAGCCAUUCCGCGUGCAGGAUGAAGGCCCUCGGGUUGUAAACUGCUUUUGUACGGAACGAAAAGGCCUCUCUUAAUACGGGGGGCUCAUGACGGUACCGUAAGAAUAAGCACCGGCUAACUACGUGCCAGCCGCCGCCGUAA